AUCAAAGUAUGUCAUGGACAGGUUAAGUUUCCCAACACCUCGGGGGAGCAGUAUGGUGAAAGCAAUAUGCCAGAGAUCUACAUUCCCUGGUGACAGUCCCUAUUGGAUGGAAACACCAAAGCACAGAGUCAAGCGACUAAGUUCAUUCGCCUGGAAAAGAACUGCGCGUUUCCAGAGCUCUCACUCAUGGUCACCAUACUGCACUGCCUUUUCAUGAAGGGUGUAAAUACACGCCAUGAUUUGACUCCCAGCAUGACAAAACCAGACUUUUCCUGCAUCAGGCUCAGCCAAGGCUAGACCUGAAAGCAAUGCAUGGCCACAGCAAAAUGUUCUGUGACUUUCCAUCCAGCAUGAGUUCUCCUGAGAAUGGAACAGGACCAAAGUGGAUUCCCCGUGGGAAAAGGGCAGAAGAUCAGGUGUCCAAAGGGAUCUUUGCUGGCCCAGGAGGAAGAGUGUUUUAUUGGGGUAGCAGCACCCACUUCCUAGUGCACAAAUCUCCUACUCAUAUGCCCAAAGCAUACUAUAGCUUGUUAGGAAAAAAAAAAUCACAUGACACUCAGCUGGAGUCAUAACCAGCACCUUGAACAUUCCUUUCUCUUUCUAGAGGUCUUCCCUCCACCCCAGACUGUGAGCCACUUAAUGGGGUAGACCUUCCCUUAUUUAGCUGUAUGUCCCUAGGGCCUAGAACAGAGCCGGGACAACAAAAUAGGAGCCACAGUAAAUGUUUGUAGAACUAAACAGGAAUAGAGGCCAUGUGUAAGGGAUUUCCUCUGCUGAGGGUGGCAUCUGUGGCUCCUGCUGGAUCAGGCCACCAUGACAUGAGCCUGUGCUUCACUUCAUGUGCCUUCAACCUGCCCCUGGCAACCGCCUCUCUGGCUGGACCCCAUACAAUUUAUUCAGCCCCAGCUCAUACCCUACGUUCCAUACAAAUCCUGGCAGCCAGAUGAGGAAAUUGGAGCGACUCCUGAGUCAUUUAAGCUCUGCUGUCAGAAUGAUUCUCGUCUGCCUAACUGCACCAGCACCCGGGCAUUUGAACUGGAUGAAAGGGUUUGGUGAGGGGAUUAUCCAGAAGGGAAAUAAAAGACUUUACUUAGCACCUAUUAAACUUGAAUCUCCGUUUCACUCAUCAGUAUGUGAGCCUUAGAACCAGCCAUGGAAUUAGCAUGUGGGUGAAAGGAAAAGGGCUCAGAGAUGACUGAAGCCUCAUCAUGAAUCUGAGGGAUAAUCCUUAAAGGUUAUGUCAACAGCCAU
rnacentral:lncRNA from 1 species